CAUCACUUCGAGUGAGUAAGAUCCCUCAGAGACGAUGAGGUUGAUAGGUCCGAGGUGGAAGCGUGGUGACACGUGGAGCUGACGGAUACUAAUCGAUCGAGGACUUAACUAA
rnacentral:ncRNA from 1 species